rnacentral:lncRNA from 1 species
UGGAUUUUGAUUUGCGGAUAUCCGCCAACCCGCACAAUAAAAUAAAAAAUAAAAAUAAAAUCUUUUUUCUGAAAAAUACGAUUAUUUUUAGAAAAAUAAUUAAUUUCUUAAAAAAUAAUUCAAUUUUAAAAAAAAUAUUAUAAAAAAAUUACUUAUAAAUAUAUUAUUUUAUAGAAAAACUAAUUAAAUAAUUAUUAUUUUUAAUUAAAAAUAUAACCCGCGGGUCAUGCUGGUUACCCGCAAAAUAAAGCGGACGGAUGCGGGUAUAAGUUUAUUUCUUUGCGGAUUGAGCGGGUCGAAAUUUGAAUUAAAAAAAAUCGAUCUGCGGGUUGGC